rnacentral:rRNA from 1 species
UACGGAGGAUGCAAGCGUUAUCCGGAAUGAUUGGGCGUAAAGCGUCCGCAGGUGGCUAUGUAAGUCUGCUGUUAAAGAGUGAGGCUCAACCUCAUAAGAGCAGUGGAAACUACAUGGCUAGAGUGCGUUCGGGGCAGAGGGAAUUCCUGGUGUAGCGGUGAAAUGCGUAGAGAUCAGGAAGAACACCGGUGGCGAAAGCGGCACCCUGGACCGAUAUUGACGCUGAUGCGCGAAAGCCAGGGGAGCAAACGGG